rfam:Pteropus alecto contig80898, whole genome shotgun sequence.
GCACUUUCUUUGGCAACACAUAUGCUAAAAUUGGAACAAUACAGAGAUUACAUGGCCACUGUGCAAAAGUAACACACAAACUCGUGAAAUGUUUCAUAUUUUU